AGCGAACGCUGGCGGCAGGCCUAACACAUGCAAGUCGAACGAACUCUUCGGAGUUAGUGGCGGACGGGUGAGUAACACGUGGGAACGUGCCUUUAGGUUCGGAAUAACUCAGGGAAACUUGUGCUAAUACCGAAUGUGCCCUUCGGGGGAAAGAUUUAUCGCCUUUGGAGCGGCCCGCGUCUGUUUAGCUAGUUGGUGAGGUAAAGGCUCACCAAGGCGACGAUCAGUAGCUGGUCUGAGAGGAUGAUCAGCCACAUUGGGACUGAGACACGGCCCAAACUCCUACGGGAGGCAGCAGUGGGGAAUCUUGCGCAAUGGGCGAAAGCCUGACGCAGCCAUGCCGCGUGAAUGAUGAAGGUCUUAGGAUUGUAAAAUUCUUUCACCGGGGACGAUAAUGACGGUACCCGGAGAAGAAGCCCCGGCUAACUUCGUG
rnacentral:rRNA from 1 species